AGUGAACGCUGGCGGUAGGCCUAACACAUGCAAGUCGAACGGCAGCACAGUAAGAGCUUGCUCUUACGGGUGGCGAGUGGCGGACGGGUGAGGAAUACAUCGGAAUCUACUUUUUCGUGGGGGAUAACGUAGGGAAACUUACGCUAAUACCGCAUACGACCUACGGGUGAAAGCAGUGGAUCUUCGGACCUUGCGCGAUUGAAUGAGCCGAUGUCGGAUUAGCUAGUUGGCGGGGUAAAGGCCCACCAAGGCGACGAUCCGUAGCUGGUCUGAGAGGAUGAUCAGCCACACUGGAACUGAGACACGGUCCAGACUCCUACGGGAGGCAGCAGUGGGGAAUAUUGGACAAUGGGCGCAAGCCUGAUCCAGCCAUGCCGCGUGGGUGAAGAAGGCCUUCGGAUUGUAAAGCCCUUUUGUUGGGAAAGAAAAGCAGCAGGUUAAUACCCCGCUGCUCUGACGGUACCCAAAGAAUAAGCACCGGCUAACUUCGUG
rnacentral:rRNA from 1 species